AGUUAAUUAACACUUCUAGAAUAAUACAUAAAUAGUAUUUUUAAAUUAGAAGCAAUCUUUUUGUAAAUAGAAUAUUGGAAAUUGGUGUUAAGCUGUUGAUUAUUUUCUUCAAAAUGGGUAUGAAACAUGUUUCUUUGCUCAACCUUUUUUAUACAGAAAGUGUUGUUGUGGCUGAUUCUAUUUGAAUGAAAUCAUCCCUGUCUUAUGCUAGUUGUGCAGUAGAUUUAAAGUAAAGAAUCGGCAAAACUGUAGCUAUGUUUAGUCCACUUUUUUCGUCUUCAUCAUUAUCAUCUCCUGUGAAUCUAGUUGUCACAAUAUACGAUUUUAGAGAAUACAUACAGUACUUACAAUGUAUGUUGGAUAUAGCUCAAUUCAAUAUAACAUUUCCCAUGGCACUACCAGUAUAGUCCCAGAAUGACAUUCCUGGCCAAUUAUUUUUGAGAUGAAAAUAGGCUUCAAUGUUCUUCGUAAACAAUAAUGUAAAACUUAACAGAGUAACCUGAGAGCAAAAGUGUGGUCAAACAAGCAUUUCUUUAUGUUUGAGCUGUUUUUCAUACUAUUGUUUGAUUUUUAAACAUAAAAUUGAAGUACAA